CCAUGCAGUCUAAGUAUAAGCGUUAUACAGUGAAACUGCGAAUGGCUCAUUAAAUCAGUUAUAGUUUAUUUGAAGAUAAUACCAUUAGGAUAACCGUGGUAAUUCUAGAGCUAAUACUUGCUUUCUAGGCUUUAUUAGAUAUGAAUCACAAUAACUUCAGAUCGAUUGACGCUUCAUUCAAAUUUCUGCCCUAUCAGCUAGAUGGCACGGUAUUGGCGUACCAUGGCAGUAACGGGUAACGGGGAAUUAGGGUUCGAUUCCGGAGAGGGAGCCUGAGAAACGGCUACCACAUCCAAGGAAGGCAGCAGG
rnacentral:rRNA from 1 species